AAGUUUUUUUUAGUAUUUUAACUUUUUAUUCGAAUAGUCUUCUCUAUUUAGUUUUGUUUCUAACAUAAAUUCUUUUGCUAUGUCAUUGAGAUAUUAUGGGACAUUGAAAUCAAGUGUGAAGGCAAUCGAAUGGAGUUCAAUUGGUCAACCGACAUGACACAAAAAUCGAGAUCCAAAUAUUACAAGUAACCCAACAAAUAAAACACAUGACUCAAUGGCCCAACAGUGACUAGUAACACGUGGCCCAACAAUGGCCCAAAGUGAAGCACCCGAUCUGGUCCACUUGUGUCUUCGCUCGAACCAUCUGCAACCCUGACCGAUGAACUAGGGUUUGGGAACCCUAAUUUCCCAUCCCUUGCUUCCAACCGUUCAAAGACCCUAUGCCUCACGAGUCCUCGCUGCUCACGCUUCUCUCGGCCGGUUUUCUCGGCGUCGUGAACUCCUCAACAUCAAACAACCAUCAACGAUGUGACUCAGAGGGAUUCAUUCACAACCAACCAAGCAGUGAUUUAGUCCAAAUAAAAUGUUAAAAAGUCGGGACUAAGACUAGUAUUCUUAGGCUAUAAAUACAUGUAAACUGAACACGAUUUACACACAAGGAUUUCAUAUGAAAUUACCAGAAAAA